UUUGGGGGUGCCGUGCCCCUCGGGUCGCGGCUGAGAACAUACCCAUGGAAUCUGAUCCGGAUCAUACCGGCGUAGAGAACUAAACUUAUUA
rnacentral:ncRNA from 1 species